rnacentral:rRNA from 1 species
CAGUCGCCACGGUAAUACGUAGGGUGCAAGCGUUAAUCGGAAUUACUGGGCGUAAAGCGUGCGCAGGCGGUGUUGUAAGACUGAUGUGAAAUCCCCGGGCUCAACCUGGGAACUGCAUUGGUGACUGCAGCGCUGGAGUGCGGCAGAGGGGGAUGGAAUUCCGCGUGUAGCAGUGAAAUGCGUAGAUAUGCGGAGGAACACCGAUGGCGAAGGCAAUCCCCUGGGCCUGCACUGACGCUCAUGCACGAACGCGUGGGGAGCAAACAGGAUUAGAUACCCCCGUAGUCCCUGUCUCUUAUAC